rnacentral:rRNA from 1 species
UACAGAGGUCUCAAGCGUUGUUCGGAUUCAUUGGGCGUAAAGGGCGUGUAGGUGGCGCCGUAAGUCGGGUGUGAAAUUUCGGAGCUUAACUCCGAAACUGCAUUCGAUACUGCGGUGCUUGAGGACUGGAGAGGAGACUGGAAUUCAUGGUGUAGCAGUGAAAUGCGUAGAGAUCAUGAGGAAGACCAGUGGCGAAGGCGGGUCUCUGGACAGUUCCUGACACUGAGGCGCGAAAGCGUGGGGAGCAAACAGG